rnacentral:lncRNA from 1 species
AAGUCAGGGAACUAGCUUUGGUUGGGUUCGGUGGUACACAAAGCACAAGGCCUGGGUUGGGGUUAGGAGGAAAUGAGACUUGCGGCGGGUCGGGGCUGAAGAUGUGGCAGCGCCCUGAACCUGGAGAAAGGCUGAAUCCCUUUGGUCAAGGAGAGGGAGAGAGAGGUAAGGGUCUGGUCUUACUUUUUAAGCAGGAAGAAGACUACAAACCACCAUCUACCAUCUGCCAGGCCCUGGAAUUUGAACCACCAUCUUCUGGAGUGACUCAAAUGCAGAGGAAGCCAGGCCUGCUGCUAACGUUUCUGAGAGGCGGCAAGAGUAUAAAUGGAGAUCCACAUAUGUAUAAAUAAAGAGUGUGAAUCAAGCUAACAAACUGUUUAAUAAAAUAUGAUCUACCCUCUUAGCUUGACAAAUCAACUUUUCAAACACCUGGAAGAACAAGUUUGCACUCAGGAUUCUCAGACUCCUCAGAGUUCUGCACUGGGAUGUGGAAGGGCUGUGCAAGCCAGCCCUUGGGUCCCUGAUCCCUGUCUCCUGGCCUGUGCCCGUCUCUUCUCAGCCUGGCUCCAACUCCCAUUGAGAGGAAGUUCUUGUACACAUAUGAUACUGCAGCCCUUAUGUCUAAUAUUUAUCCAUACCUUCUGCAAACAGCCACUGUGUGACCACCCUUGGGCUUCCCAGGGGUCUGCAAACUGACAAUACAGACAAAGGGAACCAAGGCAGAGGCUCACAGACUGUAGAAAUGGGCUUGGGGCCAUCUGGGCAGAGACUUGUGGAAUCCCAGCACGAUCACUCUGGGUGCUGUGUGAAAUGGAUGAAUAGCAAGGAGCUGCAGCCAAGAGCAAAUCAACAGAAGCACCACUCAAAAUGCCUCAGUACCCAUUACAUAAGGAUUCUUGUGAUUAAUUCUUCCCCAAAAUUUAGAGCCAAGAAAAAUCCAGCUCUCCUACUGAGAGUUGUAGAUUAGAGCUUCUGUUUCUAAUCUACAAACAAACAAAUGUGUGCAAUGUCUUUUCAUGACAAUUCCAACUUUAUCAUAAGGUUGUCUACUAAGAAACUAGUAGGCAGGUUUCUCUUGUUGUCUAGACCACCUGAAAGCUCAUAGCUGAGUUUGCACUUAUUUGCAGAGUAAACUGCUCAUUUAUCAAUCUGGCAUCCAAUCACAACUUUUUAGCUAACUGUAUGUUUUCAUAAACACUUUUCUCACACAGUAUAAAUUUUAAAUAAAUAACAAUAGCAAUUAAGUAGUAACAACUCGAGACUGGUAUCUGACUAGUGGUUCUUUCACCAGUGUGUACACUGGAAGUUUUGUUUUGUUUUUUGAUGUUUGUACAUUGUAAUUGCAGGACAGGUAGUAAGAAGAUUUCAAAUUCACAUUAGCUUUGCUACCACUAAAUUAUGGUGACUGUUCCUAAUUUGCAAACAAAUGUAUGCAAUCUCUUUUUAUGAUUAUCCCAACUUUAUCAUAAGGUUGUUAUAUUUUAAGACAUAUGAAAAGAUAUAAAGUAUAAUACAGUGAAUACAUAUAUAUCUAACUCCCAGUUUAAGAAAUAAAACAUUAGCAAAUACAGCUGAAGCUCCAUGAAUUCCCCUCCCAAAUCAUACUCCCUUCCCACCCGCAGAGGGAACCUCUAUUCUGAGCCUGGUGUUUAUCACCACCAAGAAUUAAAAAAAUACUUUUACUAUAUAUACACAAGUAUGUACCCCUUAGAAAUGAGUAGUAGUACUGUUUUGUAUGUCUUUACACUUUAAGUAAAUGGUAUAAGUUAUUUCUUGUUUUUGCUCAAAAUUGUUGAAAUUUAUGCCCUUUGAUUCUAUAGCUGACUUUCACUGUGAGUCAUUCCAUCAUUAUUUCUGUAUUCAUUCUCCUGCUGAAGUACAUUUCAGGUUGUUGCUAUUCCUCUGCUGAUCCCCCUCCCCCAACACACAUGCUUUUAUUAAUAAAUCUGCUGGAACAUUCUUGCAUACA